CUGAAUUGUCAACAAGAGUUGUUGCUGGUCCUCGAAUGGGGGCAUGUGCACGCUCUGUUCACACAUCCACUCACACCCUGUGCACUCUCUGUAGUUCUAUGGCCAGGGGGCCUGCCCUCCUGCUGUGGUUCUGCGUCUUUACACACACACUGUAACAAAGUCUCAUGGAAUGCAUGCUGCGUUUAACGCAAUACAAUA
rnacentral:misc_RNA from 1 species